AAAGACGUGUGACUACUUUGAGAUCAACAUGCUGUGAGAAGCCCAAACUGCAUAGAGGGACAGGAACAAUGAGAUGCCGGGUGGAGAGAGGCCAAAGAGCAGGAAGGUGCUACAUUUGUGACAGUCUCUUCUUGGAGCCUUAGGCAAGGAUAUAAGCUGUUGUUGAGUGAAAAGCAUAUGACAGGAUCCUAGAAAGGCUUCAUGCCCAGCAUGGAGCCCAACACAGGGU